rnacentral:rRNA from 1 species
GGAAUCUUCGGCAAUGGACGAAAGUCUGACCGAGCAACGCCGCGUGAGUGAAGAAGGUUUUCGGAUCGUAAAACUCUGUUGGUAGAGAAGAACGUUGGUGAGAGUGGAAAGCUCAUCAAGUGACGGUAACUACCCAGAAAGGGACGGCUAACUACGUGCCUAG